rnacentral:misc_RNA from 1 species
CAGUGUUCGCUGCCCUCGCGGGUAGCAAACCUCACCCUUGUGUAUUAUAUCUAUGUUGCUUUGGCACGCCGCCUUCGGGCGCUGGCUUUUAGCUGGCUUGCGCGUGUCAGAGGCCUUCAAACUCUAAAUGUUAGUGUCGUCUGAGUACUAUCUAAUAGUUA